GGACUACUGGGGUAUCUAAUCCUGUUUGCUCCCCUUGCUCUCGCGCCUCAGCGUCAGGUUUAGGCUAGAAAACCGCUUUCGCCACAGGUGUUCCUCCACAUAUCUACGCAUUUCACCGCUACUUGUGGAAUUCCGUUUUCUCCGCCAUCCCUCUAGAUAAAUAGUUUCGAAUGCAGCUCCGAGGUUGAGCCUCGGAAUUUCACAUCCGACUUAUCUAUCCGCCUACGCGCCCUUUACGCCCAAUAAAUCCGAUUAAUGCUUGCACCCUCCGUAUUACCGCGGCUGCUGGCAC
rnacentral:rRNA from 1 species